CGCGCUGGGUCGGUCACAUCCCUCAUCGGCAGCGUUGAAUUGGGAGAUUUGUGCUUUGGAAUGGCUGGAUUCGAUUAUGUUCACAUAUCUGACUAAAACAUCUGAUUAAAGCAGCUAGACUAAUAAGACAGUGAUUUGACUUUAAUCUUCGGCUUAUUGAGGAUAGCAUCAUGGAUCCAACAUCUUGAGGAAACUGAUGAAGAAACAGAUCAAACUUCACUUAUUUCUAGAAUAUUGGAAUAUGAAGCAAAUAAGAUACACAAGAGCAAUACAGAAAUGGAUAAGACAGAAAGAGAAUGUCAGAGAAGGGAUGACAAAGAAGCUGGAGUCCUUCAUGAAGAGCAUGAUCCUGCUCAGAGACAUGGAGCAGGUACGGGGACGUUGUGGCCAUAACAACCAGCUGAGUCGCCACCUCACAGAGCUCCGCCUGGAAAACAGAUUACUGAUGGAUUAAUACAAUGGCCUUGCCCAAGAGCUGCAGGAUGCUUUCGAGACCAUUGAGGACCUCCAGGGGACGAAAUAUGCAUUGGAUUCCAAAGAGAGGCAGGCUAAUAAACUUGCAUGAAAAUGCAUCAAGGAGAACAUUAAUUUAUCUGAGAGAUAGCAACUGUUAACACUUUUAAAGGGUGUAGAAGUAGGAAAAUGCAUGAAUUGAAGUACCAAGAUUUUAUAAAGAGUAAAUAGUUGAGGUGCACAUAAGAUUUGCAUAUUAAGGUGUGAGAAUGGCAUAAAAUGAAAACUGAGUAUAUGGUUCUUUUCCCGGUCUCCUCCAUACAUUAGUAUGUAGUAUAUUCAUAUGUACUCCAAAUUUGCUGUUGAGAUAUAUGAAUAUUUGAUCGUUUUGUGCAUUUUUGGGUUUCUGUGUUAUUGUAGCUUUGAGACAUGAAUGUUGUUUUGGUGUAGCCAUGUGUAGUAAAGGUGGCAUAAUGAGUCUGUUUGUGUUGAAUUUUCCUUCAAAAUGACAGCUCUGUCUCAUUUAAGUUGCUAAAAAGGGAAAAUACCUAAAAUAGCACCUUGGAGCCUGUCACAUAAUGUUUCAACCCUAUGAUUUAAAAGUGUUUAGUGGCAUUCGUAAGAGGAACUAUGUGGCUGAACACAUAAAAAAGUCAUUGUGACUAGGAAAGAGCCUCACACAUUUAAUGAUGUUUUGUAUGUUUUAAUACAAUUCUGGCUUUUAGAAACCAACUGUGCUGAAGAAAAUGGGAACUAGACAGUAUUGAACUUUAUUGUGUUUGAUGUCAUGUUCAGGAGCUGCUGAACAGCUCAGAAUUGUAUAUGACAUUAUUCUCAGCUU